rnacentral:misc_RNA from 1 species
AGUGGAGAUUAAAAAGGGAGCCACUACAUAUGGGGUCAGAAGGUUGCCUUUUUUGCUUCCUCUUCCUCUUCGAGUCCCUCAGAUACAAGGGCAAAAACAAGAAUGUUGAUGUUGAAGGGCUGGAGGAGAUGGUAGAUGUUGACAUUGUUUGAAUCCAUAACGGUUCUGUAAAGGAUUUUAUAUCUUUUGAUAUGGCUCAUUUAUGAUCAGCAGAUUGGAAUCAGAAAUUGGCGAUCUUCAUGUAGAUAGUUUUGGGUUAUAAUCAGCCUGGAAUUCUAUUGUUGUUUUGUUUUCUAUCAAUGUCAACAUCUACCAUCUCCUCCAGC